AUCACUUCUCGGCUUUUUGGCUAAACACAAGUGUAGUAUCUGUUCUUACCAGUUUAAUAUUUUUAUUUAUUUACUUAUUUAAAAAAAUUUUUAAAGAUUUUAUUUAUUUAUUUGAGAGAGAAAGAGAGAGAGGGAGAGCACAGAGGGAGAGGGAGAGGGAGAAGCAGACUCCCU
ensembl:snRNA U2 U2 spliceosomal RNA